UGGGGGAUGAAGCAUUUCGGUGUGUAAACCCCUGUUGCUCGGGACGAACAAGCGAUUUUGAUCGCUCUGACGGUACCGGGUGAGGAAGCACCGGCUAACUCCGUGCCAGCAGCCGCGGUAAUACGGAGGGUGCGAGCGUUGUCCGGAAUCACUGGGCGUAAAGGGCGCGUAGGCGGUCUGCUAAGCGUGUGGUGAAAGCUCGGGGCUCAACCCCGAGUCUGCCAUGCGAACUGGUGGACUAGAGCACUGUAGAGGCGAGUGGAAUUCCGGGUGUAGCGGUGGAAUGCGUAGAGAUCCGGAAGAACACCGGUGGCGAAGGCGGCUCGCUGGGCAGUAGCUGACGCUGAGGCGCGAUAGCGUGGGGAGCAAACAGGAUUAGAUACCCUGGUAGUCCACGCCGUAAACGAUGGGGACUAGGUGCUUGGGGGAGCGACCCCUCGAGUGCCGGCGCUAACGCAUUAAGUCCCCCGCCUGGGGAGUACGGCCGCAAGGCUGAAACUCAAAGGAAUUGACGG
rnacentral:rRNA from 1 species